GACGAACGCUGGCGGCGUGCCUAACACAUGCAAGUCGAGCGAACAGAUCAGGAGCUUGCUCCUCUGACGUUAGCGGCGGACGGGUGAGUAACAUGUGGAUAACCUACCUAUCAGACUGGGAUAACUUCGGGAAACCGGAGCUAAUACCGGAUAAUAUAUUGCACCGCAUGGUUCAAUAGUGAAAGACGGUUUUGCUGUCACUUAUAGAUGGAUCCGCGCCGCAUUAGCUAGUUGGUAAGGUAACGGCUUACCAAGGCAACGAGGCGUAGCCGACCUGAGAGGGUGAUCGGCCACCCUGGAAGUGAGACAGGGUCCAGACUCCUGCGGGAGGCAGCAGUAGGGAAUCUUACGCAAUGGGCGAGAGCCUGACGGAGCAACGCCGCGUGAGUGAUGAAGGUCUUCGGAUCGUAAAACUCUGUUAUUAGGGAAGAACAAAUGCGUAAGUAACUGUGCACGUCUUGACGGUACCUGGUCAGAAAGCCACGGCUAACUACGUG
rnacentral:rRNA from 1 species